rnacentral:misc_RNA from 1 species
CAAUGCCGCUAAUGAAGAACGAAGAUCAAAGUUGAGGUUUAAUAUAACCACGCAAAACUGUGUUUAAUAACGGAUAAACAAGGUUCACAUUUGGACAACCUCGCCACCCCUACUUCCCUCAACUGUGCAUGCAGGAAGACUGAGAAGACCGCUUCAACACCUUUGCAUUAGCACCAAGAGGUUCUGCUACAGUUGACACCUAGUAAAAACCAUCCUUUAGUUGCCAAAACGGCCUCUUGCCCAUGGCACCCUUGGCCGAACACCAUUGACAUUGCGCUGCACAGCAUUGUUCUUCCGUGUCAAGAUCCUCAUCCUCUCCUCUUUCAUGUUGGCAAACCGUGAAUCCAGUGUUUGAGGCCUUGGCUUAGCCCCUGCAUCCCCUUGUUGUUGUUGCAGCUGCUGCCGCUGUGGUGACUUCGCAGCCAAGCCUCCAUUUGCUGCCCUCCUCUGAACCGUAAAAGCUCCUGUCCUUGCUUUGUCUGAAUUUGCCAACCCAUUACGAACAAAAGGCCUACUGCGAAAAGAAGCAACUGCAGCCUUCCUUGCAAACUCAGUUGUUACAGGAAAUUGGUUCCCUUGGAAAUUUGACCUUCUUUGAGCUAAAGCCCCCUGUCGAACAAAUGGUCGUGAAUUCAUAUAGCGCUGCACCUUCACAGAUUUCUGUUGUGCAGCAUUGUUAAAAACUAUCUGACUUUUAUUCGGAGGCCUUUGCUGCUUCUUAACCUUAGUUGUAUUUUUAGACAUUUUGAUGAUGUCAUCUAAAGGCAUAUCAAGUUUCUUUUCUGUAUUAGCAAUUUCCUCACGACUGAGUGGUUUAGUGGCCAUAGAUUCCAACGAGGUGGUUUAUGGAAAAGGGGAAAUUGAAAACUUUUUAGGGUUAAGGACUACAAAAGCGUAGUAGUUUCGAGCCGACGAAGGAGAUGCUUCCCUCAAAGAGGCGACGGGAAUAUACGAGCGAUAAAAGAAAGCGAGAGGAAAUUGUACGCAACUGCAAGGCUACGCUACGCGGAUCUAAACUUGCAAUGUACAAAUAAGUUAUUAAACCGUCUCAAUUUAGAUUUCAAGUCCGCCUGGAAAUUCCGGAAUUUUUGCUUAACCUCGUUG